rnacentral:rRNA from 1 species
CACGGGCGCAGCCUGAUCCAGCCAUGCCGCGUGAGUGAUGAAGGCCUUCUGGUUGUAAAGCUCUUUUUUCAGGGAAGAAACGGUUUGUACUAGUACCCUGUUGUCUUGACGGUACCAGAAGAGUACGCACCGGUUAGCUACGUGCCCCCAGCCGCUGAAAUCAA